GACCUGGUGGUGAAAUGUAUCACACCCACCCUUGAUGUUGCAUAACCAUCCGACCCAUGUGUGGGAAUCCCCAGUUCAAACCCGGGUCAGGUCA